GGAUUUACUGGGUGUAAAGGGCGUGUAGGCGGGUCGACAAGUUGGAUGUGAAAUGUACCGGCUCAACCGGUACGCUGCACCCAAAACUGUCGAUCUUGAGUGUUGGAGAGGAUAGUGGAAUUCCUAGUGUAGCGGUAAAAUGCGUAGAUAUUAGGAGGAACACCAGUGGCGAAGGCGGCUUGCUGGGCUUUUACUGACGCUGAGGCUCGAAAGUGUGGGGAGGC
rnacentral:rRNA from 1 species